rnacentral:rRNA from 1 species
UACGAAGGGGGCUAGCGUUGUUCGGAAUUACUGGGCGUAAAGCGUGCGCAGGCGGCUUCUCAAGUCAGGGGUGAAAGCCCAGAGCUCAACUCUGGAACUGCCUUUGAGACUGAGUGGCUUGAGUACGAGAGAGGUGAGUGGAAUUCCCAGUGUAGAGGUGAAAUUCGUAGAUAUCAGGAGGAACACCGAUGGCGAAGGCAGGUCUCUGGGCUGACACUGACGCUCAUGCACGAAAGCGUGGGGAGCAAACAGG